rnacentral:tRNA from 2 species
GGCCCCGUCGUCUAGCGGCCUAGGACAUCUGGUUUUCAGCCAGAGAAUCAGGGGUUCGAAUCCCCUCGGGGUCACCC